rnacentral:rRNA from 1 species
AGGAUCCUACGGGAGGCAGCAGUGGGGGAUAUUGCACAAUGGGGGAAACCCUGAUGCAGCGACGCCGCGUGAGUGAAGAAGUAUUUCGGUAUGUAAAGCUCUAUCAGCAGGGAAGAAAAUGACAGUACCUGACCAAGAAGCCCCGGCUAACUACGUGCCAGCAGCCGCGGUAAGACAGAAGAUGCAAGCGUUAUCCGGAAUGAUUGGGCGUAAAGCGUCUGUAGGUGGCUUUUUAAGUUCGCCGUCAAAUCCCAGGGCUCAACCCUGGACAGGCGGUGGGAACUAACCAGCUGGAG